rnacentral:rRNA from 1 species
GAAAUGGAUUGCUUAUUGCACCACAUGUGUUUUUCUUUGAAACAAACUUGCUUUGGCGGUGGGCCCAGCCUGCCGCCAGAGGUCUAAACUUACAACCAAUUUUUUAUUAACUUGUCACACCAGAUUAUUACUUAAUAGUCAAAACUUUCAACAACGGAUCUCUUGGUUCUCGCAUCGAUGAAGAACGCAGCGAAAUGCGAUACGUAAUAUGAAUUGCAGAUAUUCGUGAAUCAUCGAAUCUUUGAACGCACAUUGCGCCCUCUGGUAUUCCGGAGGGCAUGCCUGUUUGAGCGUCGUUUCUCCCUCAAACCGCUGGGUUUGGUGUUGAGCAAUACGACUUGGGUUUGCUUGAAAGACGGUAGUGGUAAGGCGGGAUCGCUUUGACAAUGGCUUAGGUCUAACCAAAAACAUUGCUUGCGGCGGUAACGUCCACCACGUAUAUCUUCAAACUUUGACCUCAAAUCAGGUAGGACUACCCGCUGAACUUAAGCAUAUCAAUAAGGCGGAGGAA